rnacentral:rRNA from 1 species
AUACGUAGGUGGCAAGCGUUGUCCGGAUUUAUUGGGCGUAAAGCGAGCGCAGGUCGGUUUUUUAAGUCUGAUGUGAAAGCCUUCGGCUUAACCGGAGAAGUGCAUCGGAAACUGGGAGACUUGAGUGCAGAAGAGGACAGUGGAACUCCAUGUGUAGCGGUAGAAAUGCGUAGAUAUAUGGAAGAACACCAGUGGCGAAGGCGGCUGUCUGGUCUGUAACUGACGCUGAGGCUACGAAAGUAGUGGGUAGAC